rnacentral:lncRNA from 1 species
UCAAGUUCACACUUCAUGAGAAAUACCGACGGCUUCCUCCAGAUGCCGCAAUGUAAGUGGUUAAACCUAUUUAAAACAGAAAAUGGUGCAAAUUUUCAUUUUACUUCCAAAUACAAGUAUAUGGCAAUUGAUUUUUAUGUUUCUUUUACUAUAGUAGUUUAGAGUUCACAUGUAACGGACUGUUUGCGCUUAUCCUGCAGAACUUUGUAAUUUUUCAUUAUUGCAGAUUCUCUUUAUUAAGCUAAUAGAAUUCAAUAAACUUUAUAUUCAAUAAACUUUAUAUGAAAUUGUGCAAGUCCGUUACAAUGCCAUGGAAAACGCGUCACGACAACAUUGGUUCAACCAAAUGUGCUUGAUUCUCAUCAUUAGUAAAUCUGUUUAUUGAAUGUUACUUUUACAGAUGGAUUUCCAAUACCUUCUAUGCCAGUCUGCAAUUUAAACUCACCGGCAAGGACAGAAUUCGGUGCACCCUCUCAUUUCAACACCUCAUUUCAAUCCUUGCUAGCAACACCAGAUCAAACAGAGAAGACAAGGAAUCAAAAUCCUGCAGCAGACGAAAACUCAGUUUCUGAAAAGGAGCAGGAAAGUUUAAUUGUAUGCAAUAAAAAGCAAUUUUCUCAACAGAACCGUGAUCUCUUACAGAAUAUUGUCGAUUCAUCAUCUGUGAUCAUUUCAGCACCAAUGGAGGAAAAGGACUCUGAAAGGGGAAGUGUCCAAGGUAUAGAUCUGAAUAAGACUCCCCAG